rnacentral:lncRNA from 1 species
CAGAAGGGUCAGGACUCGAAGAUUGUUCUACACAUCAAACAGCAUCAGAUCACAGCCACGAGGAAAUAUCAGACCCAGAGAGCUGCAAAUCAAACAGGAAAGACAAUUCUUGUUUCCCACGAGCGUGGAGAGAGGCAGACCUGUCAGUGCUCCUGCGGUCAGCUGUGGGAAUCAAAGUGAUGCUGUUCUUUCAACCAAGCACCAGAGUAGAAUGCUUCUGAUUACACCAUGGGAAACCUGAGGCGCACUGCAACCUGGCUGACCAG